GAUGAACGCUAGCUACAGGCUUAACACAUGCAAGUCGAGGGGAAACGCCAUCGGAAUCUUGCUUUUGCUUGACCUCCACACGCGCGAGGGAGAGUAACGCGUCUCCCAUCUGCGCCUCACAUGGGAAUAAGCUUGCGGAAGUAAGACUAAUAACCAAUGAUAUCCGACGAAGGCAACGGAAUGGGAUGAUAGUGCUAUCGGUGAUGGAUGGGGAUGCGUCUGAUUAGCUAGUUGGCAGGGUAACGGCCUACCAAGGCAACGAUCAGUAGGCGUUCUGAGAGGCAGGUCCCCCACAUUGGAACUGAGACACAGUCCAAUCUCGGACGGGAGGCAGCAGUGAGGAAUACUGGUCAAUGGGCGAGAGCCUGAACCAGCCAAGUAGCGUGCAGGAAUACGGCCCUAGGGGUUGUAAACUGCUUUUAUAAGAGAAUAAAGUGAGUCACGUGUGACUUUUUGCAUGUACCUUAUGAAUAAGGACCGGCUAAUUCCGUG
rnacentral:rRNA from 1 species